rnacentral:rRNA from 1 species
GAUGAACGCUGGCGGCGUGCCUAAUACAUGCAAGUCGAGCGAAUGGAUUAAGAGCUUGCUCUUAUGAAGUUAGCGGCGGACGGGUGAGUAACACGUGGGUAACCUGCCCAUAAGACUGGGAUAACUCCGGGAAACCGGGGCUAAUACCGGAUAACAUUUUGAACCGCAUGGUUCGAAACUGAAAGGCGGCUUCGGCUGUCACUUAUGGAUGGACCCGCGUCGCAUUAGCUAGUUGGUGAGGUAACGGCUCACCAAGGCAACGAUGCGUAGCCGACCUGAGAGGGUGAUCGGCCACACUGGGACUGAGACACGGCCCAGACUCCUACGGGAGGCAGCAGUAGGGAAUCUUCCGCAAUGGACGAAAGUCUGACGGAGCAACGCCGCGUGAGUGAUGAAGGCUUUCGGGUCGUAAAACUCUGUUGUUAGGGAAGAACAAGUGCUAGUUGAAUAGGCUGACACCUUGACGGUACCUAACCAGAAAGCCACGGCUAACUACGUGCCAGCCGCCGCCGUAA